rnacentral:rRNA from 1 species
UACAGAAAGUGCAAACGUUGCUCGGAAUCAUUGGGCGUAAAGCGCACGUAGGCGGUCUGUUAUGUCGGAUGUGAAAGCCCUUGGCUCAACUGAGGAAGUGCAUCCGAAACUGGCAGGCUAGAGUACUAAAGAGGAUCGCGGAAUUCCCGGUGUAGAGGUGAAAUUCGUAGAUAUCGAGAGGAACACCGGUGGCGAAGGCGGCGAUCUGGGUAGAUACUGACGCUGAAGUGCGAAAGCGUGGGGAGCAAACAGG